CAGUAGCCACGGUAAUACAGAGGGUGCAAGCGUUAAUCGGAAUUACUGGGCGUAAAGCGCGCGUAGGUGGUUUGUUAAGUUGGAUGUGAAAUCCCCGGGCUCAACCUGGGAACUGCAUCCAAAACUGGCAAGCUAGAGUAUGGUAGAGGGUGGUGGAAUUUCCUGUGUAGCGGUGAAAUGCGUAGAUAUAGGAAGGAACACCAGUGGCGAAGGCGACCACCUGGACUGAUACUGACACUGAGGUGCGAAAGCGUGGGGAGCAAACAGGAUAAGAGACCCCUGUAGUCCCUGUCUCUUAUAC
rnacentral:rRNA from 1 species